CUGUGGAUGUUCUCGUUAUUCUGAUUUUGUAAAUAAUCAGGACAGGCUAAGCAUUCAGUAUAAUAAGUCCAAGCAUGUGUCCCCAGGCCCAGUUUUUUAUCUACCUUGGUCUGGUCUUAGAAAUGCUCGCGAUAAAU
ensembl:snoRNA SNORA72 Small nucleolar RNA SNORA72